rnacentral:lncRNA from 1 species
GGAUAGAACCGGUGGAUAUUUAUUUAGGAACCUCUUAUCACCGUUGGUUGUGUGAUAAACAUCGGGUGAAGGUAUCACCGCUGGGUUAAUUCAUAUAAUAGCAUUGAUACUCUUUUUCACCACUAGUUUUUGACAAUCCACAGCCCUACCAGCUUUAGAACCUACAAUGAUACUAUAUCACCGCUAGUUUUAAAAUGGGCGAUGACAGGGCGUUGGUGAUAGCUCGUUUGUGUAGUAGUGGGUGAAUAUGCAAAUAGGAGUAGUUAGUGUACUUGUCAAAGUGUCAAGGUCUACUGAGAUCACUCCUAACAUCUUUGAAUAUCAUUUUGCUCGAUGGCAA